GCCGAUGGCGACCGGCGCACGGGUGAGUAACACGUAUCCAACCUGCCGUCUACUCUUGGACAGCCUUCUGAAAGGAAGAUUAAUACAAGAUGGCAUCAUGAGUCCGCAUGUUCACAUGAUUAAAGGUAUUCCGGUAGACGAUGGGGAUGCGUUCCAUUAGAUAGUAGGCGGGGUAACGGCCCACCUAGUCUUCGAUGGAUAGGGGUUCUGAGAGGAAGGUCCCCCACAUUGGAACUGAGACACGGUCCAAACUCCUACGGGAGGCAGCAGUGAGGAAUAUUGGUCAAUGGGCGCAGGCCUGAACCAGCCAAGUAGCGUGAAGGAUGACUGCCCUAUGGGUUGUAAACUUCUUUUAUAAAGGAAUAAAGUCGGGUAUGUAUACCCGUUUGCAUGUACUUUAUGAAUAAGGAUCGGCUAACUCCGUGCCAGCAGCCGCGGUAAUACGGAGGAUCCGAGCGUUAUCCGGAUUUAUUGGGUUUAAAGGGAGCGUAGAUGGAUGUUUAAGUCAGUUGUGAAAGUUUGCGGCUCAACCGUAAAAUUGCAGUUGAUACUGGAUAUCUUGAGUGCAGUUGAGGCAGGCGGAAUUCGUGGUGUAGCGGUGAAAUGCUUAGAUAUCACGAAGAGCCCCGAUUGCGAAGGCAGCCUGCUA
rnacentral:rRNA from 1 species